UACGUAGGGGGCAAGCGUUGUCCGGAAUUACUGGGCGUAAAGCGCACGUAGGCGGCUUUGUAAGUUAGAGGUGAAAGCCUGGAGCUCAACUCCAGAAUUGCCUUUAAGACUGCAUCGCUUGAAUCCAGGAGAGGUGAGUGGAAUUCCGAGUGUAGAGGUGAAAUUCGUAGAUAUUCGGAAGAACACCAGUGGCGAAGGCGGCUCACUGGACUGGUAUUGACGCUGAGGUGCGAAAGCGUGGGGAGCAAACAGG
rnacentral:rRNA from 1 species